rnacentral:rRNA from 1 species
GCUGUCGCUGACCUUUCAAAAGGUCGUGCACGCCUGAGCACUCUCACACAUCCAUUUCACCCCUUGUGCAUCACCGCGUGGGUCCCCUUUGCAGGAGGGCUCACGUUUUCACACAAAACUUGAUACAGUGUAGAAUGUUAUUUUUGCGGUCACACGCAAUCAAUACAACUUUCAACAACGGAUCUCUUGGCUCUCGCAUCGAUGAAGAACGCAGCGAAAUGCGAUACGUAAUGUGAAUUGCAGAAUUCAGUGAAUCAUCGAAUCUUUGAACGCACCUUGCGCCCCUUGGCAUUCCGAGGGGCACACCCGUUUGAGUGUCGUGAAAUCAUCAAAAACCCUUUUCUGUUUACCGAAAAAGAUUUUUGGACUUGGAGGUUUAAUGCUUGCCUUUCACUUUUGAAAGUGAGCUCCUCUCAAAUGAAUUAGUGGGGUCCGCAUUGCUGGUCCUUGACGUGAUAAGAUGUUUCUACGUUUUGGAUUUAGCACUGUCCCUUUGGAUUCCUGCUCCUAACUGUCCAACGGACAAACGAUGGUGCUCCGGUCGCCGCCGUCUACAUGGCGGGGGAGGGCUGG